rnacentral:misc_RNA from 1 species
AGAGAUUAUAUGACUGUUAUAAGGUGCAACAGAAGUAACUUUCACUGCCCUGGCUUCCAUAGCAUAAAUCUUAGAUAAUUAUGCUUAAGUUUUCAAGCUUGAGGUACUCCCAAGGCCCAAGCUCUGUAAUUGUAUAGAAACCAUCCAUCAUAUAGACCUCAUUUUAGGUGCUAAUAAGAGUUCUAAUACAUUCAUUCAUAUUUUAAGCAGUAUAGAU